GGUUAAGCGACUAAGCGUACACGGUGGAUGCCCUGGCAGUCAGAGGCGAUGAAGGACGUGCUAAUCUGCGAAAAGCGUCGGUAAGGUGAUAUGAACCGUUAUAACCGGCGAUGUCCGAAUGGGGAAACCCAGUGUGAUUCGUCACACUAUCGUUAACUGAAUACAUAGGUUAACGAGGCGAACCGGGGGAACUGAAACAUCUAAGUACCCCGAGGAAAAGAAAUCAACCGAGAUUCCCCCAGUAGCGGCGAGCGAACGGGGAGCAGCCCAGAGUCUGAAUCAGCUUGUGUGUUAGUGGAACGGUCUGGAAAGUCCGACGGUACAGGGUGAUAGUCCCGUACACCAAAAUGCACAGGUUGUGAACUCGAAGAGUAGGGCGGGACACGUGGUAUCCUGUCUGAAUAUGGGGGGACCAUCCUCCAAGGCUAAAUACUCCUGACUGACCGAUAGUGAACCAGUACCGUGAGGGAAAGGCGAAAAGAACCCCGGCGAGGGGAGUGAAAAAGAACCUGAAACCGUGUACGUACAAGCAGUGGGAGCACCUUCGGGUGUGACUGCGUACCUUUUGUAUAAUGGGUCAGCGACUUAUAUUCUGUAGCAAGGUUAACCGUAUAGGGGAGCCGCAGGGAAACCGAGUCUUAACUGGGCGUUAAGUUGCAGGGUAUAGACCCGAAACCCGGUGAUCUAGCCAUGGGCAGGUUGAAGGUUGGGUAACACUAACUGGAGGACCGAACCGACUAAUGUUGAAAAAUUAGCGGAUGACUUGUGGCUGGGGGUGAAAGGCCAAUCAAACCGGGAGAUAGCUGGUUCUCCCCGAAAGCUAUUUAGGUAGCGCCUCGUGAACUCAUCUUCGGGGGUAGAGCACUGUUUCGGCUAGGGGGUCAUCCCGACUUACCAACCCGAUGCAAACUACGAAUACCGAAGAAUGUUAUCACGGGAGACACACGGCGGGUGCUAACGUCCGUCGUGAAGAGGGAAACAACCCAGACCGCCAGCUAAGGUCCCAAAGUCAUGGUUAAGUGGGAAACGAUGUGGGAAGGCACAGACAGCCAGGAUGUUGGCUUAGAAGCAGCCAUCAUUUAAAGAAAGCGUAAUAGCUCACUGGUCGAGUCGGCCUGCGCGGAAGAUGUAACGGGGCUAAACCAUGCACCGAAGCUGCGGCAGCGACACUAUGUGUUGUUGGGUAGGGGAGCGUUCUGUAAGCCUGCGAAGGUGUGCUGUGAGGCAUGCUGGAGGUAUCAGAAGUGCGAAUGCUGACAUAAGUAACGAUAAAGCGGGUGAAAAGCCCGCUCGCCGGAAGACCAAGGGUUCCUGUCCAACGUUAAUCGGGGCAGGGUGAGUCGACCCCUAAGGCGAGGCCGAAAGGCGUAGUCGAUGGGAAACAGGUUAAUAUUCCUGUACUUGGUGUUACUGCGAAGGGGGGACGGAGAAGGCUAUGUUAGCCGGGCGACGGUUGUCCCGGUUUAAGCAUGUAGGCUGGUUGUCCAGGCAAAUCCGGAUAAUCAAGGCUGAGGUGUGAUGACGAGGCACUACGGUGCUGAAGUAACAAAUGCCCUGCUUCCAGGAAAAGCCUCUAAGCAUCAGGUAACAUUAAAUCGUACCCCAAACCGACACAGGUGGUCAGGUAGAGAAUACCAAGGCGCUUGAGAGAACUCGGGUGAAGGAACUAGGCAAAAUGGUGCCGUAACUUCGGGAGAAGGCACGCUGGUGUGUAGGUGAAGUCCCUGCGGAUGGAGCUGAGACCAGUCGAAGAUACCAGCUGGCUGCAACUGUUUAUUAAAAACACAGCACUGUGCAAACACGAAAGUGGACGUAUACGGUGUGACGCCUGCCCGGUGCCGGAAGGUUAAUUGAUGGGGUUAUCCGUAAGGAGAAGCUCUUGAUCGAAGCCCCGGUAAACGGCGGCCGUAACUAUAACGGUCCUAAGGUAGCGAAAUUCCUUGUCGGGUAAGUUCCGACCUGCACGAAUGGCGUAAUGAUGGCCAGGCUGUCUCCACCCGAGACUCAGUGAAAUUGAACUCGCUGUGAAGAUGCAGUGUACCCGCGGCAAGACGGAAAGACCCCGUGAACCUUUACUAUAGCUUGACACUGAACAUUGAGCCUUGAUGUGUAGGAUAGGUGGGAGGCUUUGAAGCGUGGACGCCAGUCUGCGUGGAGCCAACCUUGAAAUACCACCCUUUAAUGUUUGAUGUUCUAACGUUGGCCCCUGACCGGGGUUGCGGACAGUGUCUGGUGGGUAGUUUGACUGGGGCGGUCUCCUCCCAAAGCGUAACGGAGGAGCACGAAGGUUAGCUAAUCCUGGUCGGACAUCAGGAGGUUAGUGCAAUGGCAUAAGCUAGCUUGACUGCGAGCGUGACGGCGCGAGCAGGUGCGAAAGCAGGUCAUAGUGAUCCGGUGGUUCUGAAUGGAAGGGCCAUCGCUCAACGGAUAAAAGGUACUCCGGGGAUAACAGGCUGAUACCGCCCAAGAGUUCAUAUCGACGGCGGUGUUUGGCACCUCGAUGUCGGCUCAUCACAUCCUGGGGCUGAAGUAGGUCCCAAGGGUAUGGCUGUUCGCCAUUUAAAGUGGUACGCGAGCUGGGUUUAGAACGUCGUGAGACAGUUCGGUCCCUAUCUGCCGUGGGCGCUGGAGAAUUGAGGGGGGCUGCUCCUAGUACGAGAGGACCGGAGUGGACGCAUCACUGGUGUUCGGGUUGUCAUGCCAAUGGCACUGCCCGGUAGCUAAAUGCGGAAGAGAUAAGUGCUGAAAGCAUCUAAGCACGAAACUUGCCCCGAGAUGAGUUCUCCCUGAGACUUUAAGUCUCCUGAAGGAACGUUGAAGACGACGACGUUGAUAGGCCGGGUGUGUAAGCGCAGCGAUGCGUUGAGCUAACCGGUACUAAUGAACCGUGAGGCUUAACCUU
rnacentral:rRNA from 1 species